rnacentral:lncRNA from 1 species
AUGCAUAACGCCAUUAACCCUAGAAAAAGGAAAUUCAAAUCUAUAGACGGUAAUCCCAAGAGACGGCGUAGAUCUGAUAGUGGGGGUAGCAUUAUGGAUUUAGAACUUGAAGAGAUGACAAUGCGGUAUGACGCAACCGGCGAUACGUCUCAUUUGUCGGGCAUAGGCCAUGUGGUGGGUGGGGGCAUGUAUGCAGAAGGUUGUUUAGACAGGCGGGAAAUAUGUGUUGGCGUAGAUAGAACUAGACGGGUGUUAAUUGCAGCUGAUGCAUGGGGUCGUAGCAUGGCUAAUGCUCUAUAUCAGGCAGCACAGAUAAAUGUUUCGAACGAACCAUGUCUAGAUGACGUGGUGGGGCUAGAGGCACCAGGAGAUUUAGACACAAGGGGUGUGUUGUAUUCGGGGGCAAACACACGAGAUGUACUUAACGCUGUCGGGGGGCGGUUGGAUAGUGCACAAGAGAGUCUAUACAUAUCCACACAGAUCGAUGUAUUGCAUGGGUCGCAACGUGAUGAAGGGAUUGGCGCGGGUUUUCAGGACCCCCCGGCCGCGGCAGGGGUCCCUAUAGAGUCGAGGGGUGUGGUGUAUGUGGGGUCAAACACGCAAGAUGUACUUAACGCUGUCCGGGGAUGGUUGGAUAGUGCACAAGAGAGUCUAUACAUAUCCACACAGAUCGAUGUAUUGCAUGGGUCGCAACGUGAUGAAGGGAUUGGCGAGGGUUUUCAGGACCCCCCGGCUGUGGCAGGGGUCCCUAUAGAGUCGAAUAUACAGGUCGGUGGUGGUGGCGGUGGUGGUGGCGUGGGGGGUGGUGGUGGUGGCGGUGAUGGCGAUGCUGUUGUUGACGAUGAUGACAGUGGUGACGGUAGCGGUGUGGGGGAUGGAGGUGCUGGUGAUGGUGCUGCUUAUGAUGGUACACAGGUGUCUGCUGUAACGGGGGAAGAUAAUGGCGAGUUGCAUACCAGAUUAUUUCCCCGGUUUAACGGCUUUGAGGUUAGACAGUCCAUUGACCUGAGAAGUAUAUCCCUUGCAAAUUUACAGGAGGUCCCUGAUUUGAUCAGGGAGAGACUGUCAGAUGUCAUAACAAGCUGCUCGCAAAGUGCAGCCGAUGGUAGUGUCUUAAACGUGGUGCUGAGAGGUCCUUCAUUGGCCUCUGAUGUACAGGCUGUGCUCGUAACGGGUGACGAUUACAAUGAGGAUUUGUUUAUGGAGCAUAUUAGCCAAGUCAUACAGAGCAACGACACAGGUCUGACGGAUGAUGUGCUAGAGCUGGUGGUCACAGGGGUCCACAACAAACGGGGUGGGGCACGUUUGAAGUUAAAAAACAUUCCCUAUGAUGAAAUCAUACACAAGAAGAAGCUAAGUCUCUACACCCCGAGUAAUACUCAUAACAAUUUGUGUUUCUCACUAUGCAUGACACAUUUUCUGCAUGAAGGGGUAACCGGGGGUGACACAGCGUCCGAAGAGACUAAUUUGGAGGCGGCUCGCAAAUUACACAGUGAUCUGGGGUUUGACCCGGAUCACUCUGUGGGUUUCUCGGAUGUUUCCAAAUUUGAGAGACAUCUAGAUGUUAAAAUCCUGAUAUUUCAUCAUAAUGACACAUUCAGGAAGCUGGAGAUGUUCCAGACACAUACAGCCCAGCAUCCUAAAACAGUAUGGCUGUACCUCCAUGAUAGCCACUAUCAUUGCAUAGAGAACAGAACGGCAUUCUUUGGUACGGGAUAUGUGUGUGAAUAUUGCUACAAGGCCCAUGAGGGAAUUCUAUUACACAAAUGCCCGAUCCAUUGCAAUGUGUGUCUGACAGUGUGCGAUAGACUAUCAGGUCGUACGAUAAAGUGCAAGGACUGUAGUCGUAUAUGCCGCUCGCUGGUCUGCUACAACACACACAAGAAGCAUUCUGCCAAACAUGACAUGAUACCUUGUGAAAAGCUCAAAUACUGCGAUCGUUGUUGUAGACAGUAUAUCAUAUCGAAGAAGAAGAAGAAGAAGAAGAAGGGGGUGGGGGAGGAGGAGGAGGAGGAGGAUGAGGAAGGUGACGAUAAUGGUCACGUAUGCAGCGAUGCAAAGUGUCGUAACUGUGGGGAGCCGUUGCCCGAUGAUGGAGUACAUGAUUGCUAUAUCCAGCCGUACGACAAGAAAAAGAAAAAGAAACGCAGGGGUGGUCGCGGGGGUCCAUCGGAUGACUCUGAUGUCGACGCUCCGCCUAAUAAAUACAUAUACUAUGAUUUCGAAACGCGCAUGCAUGAUGGUCGUCACGAAGCAAACUGUGUGGCAGCUACAACGUCUGAAGGCAUAGAAUGGUAUGCUACAGGUCUAGGUUGUGUAAGCGAGUUUGUGAAACGCUACAGAAGAGGGGAGUAUACGUUGUAUACAUUUGUGGCACACAACGCGUCGGGCUUUGAUAACUAUAUCGUCCUGGAUUACAUGACCAAGCAGGGUAUUAAACCCACUUUAGUCAUGAAGGGUAGCAGAGUCAUUUUGAUGCGUGAUGACGCCUACCAUCAGAGAUGGGUCGACUCAUUUAGCUUCUUGCCCAUGCGAUUGGCUAAUGCACCGGCGGCGUUGGAUUUUGAUGAUAUGUUAAAAGGUUAUUUUCCUCAUAAAUUCAACACACGGGCCAACGAGUCUUAUGUCGGUGCCUACCCUGAGAUCUCAUAUUAUGGAUAUGAUUCCAUGACUAGCGAUCAAAAGACAGAUUUCGCUAUUUGGUACAGAUCUGUGCGACACAAAAAAUUUGACUUUCAGAAACAGCUGCGUCUCUACUGUGUCAACGACGUGAGGAUCCUAUACAAGGCGUGUAGGAUCUACAGGGAAAAUUUCAUAGAGUGUGCCACUAUAGACCCCUUGUCCUAUGCCACUCUGGCUUCGGCGUGCAUGGCCACCUUCAAAAAGUCGUUCUUGAAGAAAAACGUCCUGGCACUGACCUACGAGGGUGUCUAUCAGAAAAAGCAAAAGUCGUUCUCAUGCGCAUCCAUCCAGUGGCUUGAAUAUCUAUCCCACUCCAAUAACAUGGAGAUUCGGCAUGCUCUCAACCAUGGAGAGGCUAAAUAUGGACCAUUCUUCCUAGACGGACAUGCACCGUCUAUAAACACAGCCUAUGAAUUUGCAGGAUGCUUUUAUCAUGGGUGUGAACAGUGCUACAACGCUGGCCACCAGAACCCUGUCCUCAGGAAGACCUAUGGCGAAUUGUGGGUGCAGUUUCACCUCAAAGUCGAGGCUCUCAAAAGAGAUCAUGGUUUAAGAGUUGUGGUCAUGUGGGAGUGUGAGUGGCACCGUCUGAAAAAGACCAAUGCUGCAGUGCAGGCAUUCUUGGCUACUCUGAAAAUACAACCUAGGAUUGAUCCUCGCGACUCUCUCUAUGGGGGUCGCACCAACGCCAUCAAAAUGUAUCACAAGGCCGUGCCCGGUGAGAAAAUACGCUACUAUGACUUUACCUCUCUCUACCCCACAGUACAGGCCCGCUGUCCUUAUCCUGUAGAGCACCCCCAGAUCAUUUUCAGGAAUUUUGGUCCUUUGGAUGGGUAUUUCGGCAUCAUCAAAUGCACCGUGUUGCCCCCCAGAGGUCUUUACCAUCCUGUGCUCCCCUAUAGGUGUCAUGGAAAGCUGAUGUUUCCCCUCUGUGGUACAUGUGCCACUGAGCUCAAUCAGACAGACGCGUGUCAUCACAGCAACGAUGAACGGGCUCUGACAGGCACCUGGGUGACUUUUGAGCUACAAAAAGCGGUCGAAAUGGGUUACGUGUUAAUCCAAAUGCAUGAGGUGUGGCACUACCCCAAACGGUCAGAGACUCUGUUUAAAGGGUAUGUCAAAACGUUUCUCAAGCGUAAACAGGAGGCUUCAGGAUACCCCAGCACAGUGGACACUGCGGAGAAACAGCGAGCGUAUGUGCAAAACUAUCUGGCAAAGGAGGGUAUACAGUUGGAUCACAACAACAUGUGUGUGAACAAGGCCAUGCGUAAUUGCAACAAGUUGAUUCUAAACAGUCUGUGGGGUCGCUUUUCACUACGCCCAGACCUACCCACGUGUGAGCUAAUUUCUGACCCUGAAAGGUUCACUCAGCUCAUGUUUAGCGAUAGCUAUCACAUUAGUCACUUUUGCUUUAUCUCUGAUGAAGUAGCCCUUGUACAAUGGAAACAUGUAGAUGCACGUCUCGCGAGGGCACGGGAUGUCAACGUGAUUGUGGGGGCUGUGACCACCGCCCAUGCCAGGCUCAUGCUCUACGAUCUUCUAGACAAACUACAGGAACGUGUCCUCUAUUGUGACACAGACAGCAUCAUUUUUGUUUCUAAGGAGGGUGAUUGGGUACCCCCUUUAGGCCCUUAUCUGGGCGACUUGACCGACGAGCUAAAUGAUGGUGAUCUGUAUGGUACCGAACAGGAGGAUUACAUUAGCGAAUAUGUCUCAACAGGUCCUAAAAGCUAUGCAUACCACACCCGUGCCCACAAGUCUGUCGUCAAAAGCAAAGGGGUGACUUUAAAUGCGGCAAAUGCUGAAGUGGUCACCCAGCAGACCCUGAAAUGUCUAUUGGAUGAUUUUGUCAACCAUCGGCCUCAAACCCUCGACAUCACCACCACCGUAGAUACCAUCCAGCGAGAUAAGACUAGGUUUCUGCUUAAAAAUGCUACUGUAGUUAAACGGCUUAGGGUGGUUUACAACAAACGCAGGGUCUUCCCCGACUACACCACGCUUCCUUACGGCUAUUAA